AGAGCAUUCAGUUAAGAUGUAAUGUGUCCUCCUUUCUCUCUGAUGUCAAAACAAAAUGGCUGCUCAACGGCCAAGACGUCAAAAAUCUACAAAUAAAAACAACAAGACUUCGAAAUGGCAUCAUUGCUACAUUUUCAGAUUCACAUUUCCUUUACAACAACAUGAACCUGCUCAAAUGUGAAGUGUCUCAUGGUGAAAAGAAGACGAAGUUCUCUCUCAGAUCCAACAAACCAGUGGAGAUCACAACUAAAACUAUAACAACCCAGAGGAAGAAAGGAGGAGUCACCAGUAAAACUGCGAGUGUGUCAACACCAUCACCAAAGACUGAACCAGAGGAAGCUCAAACUACAGCCUCUCCACAGAACAAGAGCACAU